UCACAACAUUCUCCAAGGCCAAGUUCCUUAGCCAUUAAGAAAUAUACCUGACCACUACAAAAAAGAAAAGCAUAAUGUUCCAUCGCUGACUCAGCAGCAUCUCCAACUUUACUUCACAACCCAGGCAAAAAUAUCAUAUUUUGAUGUAUAUAUAUUCCCCACAAAGUCACAUGUACAUCGUUGGAUGCAAGAAAAAUGGGAGCUAUAAUAUCACUGUGGCGUAGAAUGGUACACUCUGAUGGGCAUGAAGCCGGAGGAGGAACCAUAGUCAAAGAUAACGUUGUCAUUGGGGAUCCCUCCAAAGUGGCGAUCGGAAAACGGAACCAGGGUGGUAGAAGAACCGGUGGCCGUGUCACCGGUAACGUUGUUGUCCGCUAACCUAUGUAUGUUUGUCAUCAUCAUGUUAAUGACUUAAGUAAGAGAUGUUGAAUGUUUGUCAGAUCUAAUGGUUUGUUGCUCUAAUAUAAAGUGAGGUACCACAAAAGUUUCCUGCUUU